rnacentral:lncRNA from 1 species
GACAGAGCACCAGGCAGAGGUACUAGUUAGACAGAGGCGAGGCAGCCUGUUUUGGUUUAUGUUACACGUCACUGAGAGGAUAGAGAUGCUUACAUUUUUUUUAUAUUUGAUGUACCUUAUUUGGCCUUGACAGACAUAGGGUCUACUCACUCUUACAUAGCUAGUACUGUAUCUGGAAACUUGGGGAUUACAGUUGAGAACACUAUGAGUGAGGUCACUGUAUUGAGUCCGUUGGGGUAGUCUGUUUAGGUUAGCAAACUAUAUAGGGAUGUUCCCUUAGUAGUGCAAGAGACGGUAUUUCUGGCUAAUCUAAUGGAGUUACCAUUUGA